rnacentral:rRNA from 1 species
AUGGAGGGGCUCCUGUAGAAGCUGAAGGGGCUCGACGCCUACCCCAAGGUCAAUGAGGACUUCUACAAGCGCACGCUCUCUAGCGGCAUCGCCAGGCUCGUCUCUGCCCUCAUCAUGCUACUCAUCUUCGUCUCUGAAACAAGUAAGUGAGGCUUCUCCUCCUCUGCAGCCUGCAAUGGCAUCGCCGUAAUGCAGAAUCGAGGUCCACAGAAAACACCUCCAAUUAUACUACUACUUGCUAGGUGUCUUUAG